CGCCUGUUUAUCAAAAACAUGGCCACAUGAAGAUAUUUGUGGUUUAACCUGCCCGAUGUAGUUUUUAACUAUCAAUGGCCGCGGUACCCUGACCGUGCUAAGGUAGCGUAAUCAGUUGGCUUUUAAAUGGAGUCAGGUAUGAAUGGGAUAACUGGGCUUAGCUGUCUCAGGGGUAUUUAAUUGAAUUUACUGUUUAAGUGAAAAAGCUUAAAUUAAGGAAAAGGGACGAGAAGACCCUUAGAAUUUUAUUUAAAAUGAGAUUAUUCUUAUUGUAAUUUUGUUGGGGCGACAGAGAAAUAAUUAUAACUUUCUUUAAAAUAAAUUAGUCGGAAUUUUCAGGAUAAGAAAAAUUACCUAAGGGAUAACAGCAUAAUUCUAUAAUUGAGUUUGUGACCUCGAUGUUGGACUAGGAAGCUAGCAGGUUAGCUGCUUGUUGUGCGGAUUCUGUUCGAAUUUUAACUCCU
rnacentral:rRNA from 1 species